UAAGCAUAUCAAUAAGCGGAGGAAAAGAAACCAACCGGGAUUGCCUCAGUAACGGCGAGUGAAGCGGCAAAAGCUCAAAUUUGAAAUCCUUCGGGAGUUGUAAUUUGUAGAGGGGUGUCUUUGGGGCGGCAUUGUCUAUGUUCCUUGGAACAGGACGUCACAGAGGGUGAGAAUCCCGUGCGAUGAUGCCUCAACCAGUACAAGACCCUCUCGACGAGUCGAGUUGUUUGGGAAUGCAGCUCUAAGUGGGUGGUAAAUUCCAUCUAAAGCUAAAUACUGGCGAGAGACCGAUAGCGAACAAGUACAGUGAUGGAAAGAUGAAAAGCACUUUGAAAAGAGAGUGAAACAGUACGUGAAAUUGUUGAAAGGGAAGGGUAGGAGGUGAGGGGAAGAGCUGCUUAGGCGCGGGAGAUAAACAAGCAGGAAGCGCUUCGGUGCGGCCUGGUAAAUAUCCCGUGCUUGUGUGGUUCUUCCGUAAUCCCCUUCUACCGCCCGUCUUGAAACACGGACCAAGGAGUCUAACGUCUAUGCGAGUGUUUGGGUGUCAAACCCGUACGCGAAAUGAAAGUGAAAGAUUGCAGCCUCGGCGCACAAUCGACCGACCAUGAUUUAUCUACGGUUUGAGUGGAGCAUAGCUGUUGGGACCCGAAAGAUGGUGAACUAUACCUGAGCAGGGUGAAGCCAGAGGAAACUCUGGUGGAGGCUCGCAGCGGUUCUGACGUGCAAAUCGAUCGUCGAACUUGGGUAUAGGGGCGAAAGACUAAUCGAACCAUCUAGUAGCUGGUUCCUGCCGAAGU
rnacentral:rRNA from 1 species